ACGGGAGGCAGCAGUGGGGAAUAUUGCACAAUGGGGGAAACCCUGAUGCAGCGACGCCGCGUGAGUGAAGAAGUAUUUCGGUAUGUAAAGCUCUAUCAGCAGGGAAGAAAAUGACGGUACCUGACUAAGAAGCCCCGGCUAACUACGUGCCAGCAGCCGCGGUAAUACGUAGGGGGCAAGCGUUAUCCGGAUUUACUGGGUGUAAAGGGAGCGUAGACGGUGAAGCAAGUCUGAAGUGAAAGGCAGGGGCUCAACCCCUGGACUGCUUUGGAAACUGUUUUACUAGAGUGCAGGAGAGGUAAGCGGAAUUCCUAGUGUAGCGGUGAAAUGCGUAGAUAUUAGGAGGAACACCAGUGGCGAAGGCGGCUUACUGGACUGUAACUGACGUUGAGGCUCGAAAGCGUGGGGAGCAAACAGGAUUAGAUACCCUGGUA
rnacentral:rRNA from 1 species